GCCGCCUUAGCUCAGUUGGUAGAGCGCCCGCCUUGUAAGCUGAAGGUCGUCGGUUCGAUUCCGACAGGCGGCUCAA
rnacentral:tRNA from 1 species